AGGGGAGGAGGGCACUGUUUCCUGUCGAAGUCCACAUUUGUGAAAAAACAUUGAUUGGGCAGAGAGAGGUGUUGUAUUCUGGAAUGGAGGUGAGAACAGUGAGCCCGCAAGGUCAGGGAGCUGCCCCCAGGUCAUCUGGGCUGUCGGAGAUGGAGGCGGGAGAGGAGCCGUGUGCUCCUGAUCCCUGGCCCAACGCUCUCCUUCCCCGUCGCCCACUCGGCAUCGGCCCUACCCGGGGCCCGGACUCCCACUCACGCACUGGAAACUCCCUGUCUUGGGGCCGCGCACACCAUGCCUGGCAGGAGCUGGAGAUGCAGCAGAGCAGACGCGGCUGCAGGAGCAGCCGUGUUUCCUACAGUGGAGAAGGGGACCCUGGCAGGAGCACUGCCCAGCCAGGCACGUGGUGCUCAACCCUGUGGGCACUGACCCCACAAAAGGCCGGGGUUUGUGCUGCAGGAGGCCUCUGUUUGGGGAGAGCUCUGUCCCGGCUCCAGUGCGGCGGCCCUCCCCCAGCCUGCUGGAAUGGGACCUCAUCCCUGCUCCAGCGUCAUGGACUUUUCCGGCCUUGGGUCGAGGCCUCAGCGAUUCAGGCGGGGCCGUUUUGUUGUCCACGGGCCCUUCCAAGUUAAACAUUACUCAUGGCGACAAGAGCCCGCAGGGCAGUGCCUGGCCUGGAGGUGGACCCGCGUGCGGAAGGUGCUGGGAGGGGGUGAGUACCAGGCCCCUCCCUGCAGCAUCUGUGGGGCAGCUGCUGGUACAGGUGGCCCCAGCACCCUGAGCCCAUACCUGGGUCCCUGCAGCCUCUUGCCUCGCCCUUUGGAGUCACGAAUGUGCCUGUUUAUGUAACCCCCAUGCUCGGCCAGAGCGGGUAAGCCUGUGGGCAGCAGCUCCCUGGGCAGGCUUGGGAGGGGCCAGCCAGGGGCCCCAGAGGGGUUUGGGCCGGGCCAGGCGAGAGCCCUCCCCUCAGCCAGUCACUCCAGCUCUGUGCCAGGCUAGGGGUGGGACUGGAAACAAAGUGUUCAGAAAAAAAAUAGCCUCAUCUGUUUUGAAUCGAUUCCGCUUAUUGGGCCCUCAGUUUUCCCAGCAGGGAAGUGGAGGGAUGGGGAGUCAUGGGCUCAAGCACCUCAGGGAGCCCUCACAGCUGCAGGAGGCACAAAGCCCGGACCCCACUCACUGCACCCAGCAGCUGCUCCACCCUGGCCUGUCAAGAGCCUCCCAGGUUAGGAGCAGAGCCCCCCAGGCCGGGUUCCCCAGGGGAGCAAAGCUGGAGGUCAACAGCAAACAGGCACGGUGUCCUCUACCCACCAUCUGCCACCCCCUCCCUCGCGUCCUCUCUUACCACUCCGUCCCCCACCUGCUGCAUGCAUCCUGCAGGGACCAAGCACCGUCCUGCCCCCAGGCCUUUGCGCUGCUGGCCCCCGCCCCGAAAGCUUAUCCCACACCCAUUUUAGGGCUGCUGAGAUGGACCUCAUAGGAAGCCCUCCUCCAACUCAGCACCUCUCGACUUACCCU